rnacentral:rRNA from 1 species
GACGUGCUAAUCUGCGAUAAGCGUCGGUGAGGUGAUAUGAACCGUUAUAACCGGCGAUUUCCGAAUGGGGAAACCCAGUGUGUUUCGACACACUAUCAUUAACUGAAUCCAUAGGUUAAUGAGGCGAACCGGGGGAACUGAAACAUCUAAGUACCCCGAGGAAAAGAAAUCAACCGAGAUUCCCCCAGUAGCGGCGAGCGAACGGGGAGGAGCCCAGAGCCUGAAUCAGUGUGUGUGUUAGUGGAAGCGUCUGGAAAGGCGCGCGAUACAGGGUGACAGCCCCGUACACAAAAAUGCACAUAUUGUGAGCUCGAUGAGUAGGGCGGGACACGUGGUAUCCUGUCUGAAUAUGGGGGGACCAUCCUCCAAGGCUAAAUACUCCUGACUGACCGAUAGUGAACCAGUACCGUGAGGGAAAGGCGAAAAGAACCCCGGCGAGGGGAGUGAAAAAGAACCUGAAACCGUGUACGUACAAGCAGUGGGAGCCUCUUAAUGGGGUGACUGCGUACCUUUUGUAUAAUGGGUCAGCGACUUAUAUUCUGUAGCAAGGUUAACCGAAUAGGGGAGCCGAAGGGAAACCGAGUCUUAACUGGGCGUUAAGUUGCAGGGUAUAGACCCGAAACCCGGUGAUCUAGCCAUGGGCAGGUUGAAGGUUGGGUAACACUAACUGGAGGACCGAACCGACUAAUGUUGAAAAAUUAGCGGAUGACUUGUGGCUGGGGGUGAAAGGCCAAUCAAACCGGGAGAUAGCUGGUUCUCCCCGAAAGCUAUUUAGGUAGCGCCUCGUGAAUUCAUCUCCGGGGGUAG